UACGUAGGGUCCGAGCGUUGUCCGGAAUUAUUGGGCGUAAAGAGCUCGUAGGCGGUGUGUCACGUCGUUCGUGAAAACCUGCAGCUUAACUGUGGGCGUGCGGUCGAUACGGGCAUCACUGGAGUUCGGCAGGGAGACUGGAAUUCCUGGUGUAGCGGUGAAAUGCGCAGAUAUCAGGAGGAACACCGGUGGCGAAGGCGGGUCUCUGGGCCGGAUACUGACGCUGGAGGAGCGAAAGCGUGGGAGCAAACAGG
rnacentral:rRNA from 1 species